rnacentral:rRNA from 1 species
GACGAACGCUGGCGGCGUGCUUAACACAUGCAAGUCGAACGGAAAGGCCCCUUUGGGGGUACUCGAGUGGCGAACGGGUGAGUAACACGUGAGUAACCUGCCCUUGACUUCGGGAUAACUUCAGGGAACUGGGGCUAAUACCGGAUAGGAAUCCUUGCUGCAUGGUGGGGGUUGGAAAGCUUCGGCGGUUUUGGAUGGACUCGCGGCUUAUCAGCUUGUUGGUGGGGUAGUGGCUUACCAAGGCUUUGACGGGUAGCCGGCCUGAGAGGGCGACCGGCCACAUUGGGACUGAGAUACGGCCCAGACUCCUACGGGAGGCAGCAGUGGGGAAUAUUGCACAAUGGGCGGAAGCCUGAUGCGGCAACGCCGCGUGCGGGAUGACGGCCUUCGGGUUGUAAACCGCUUUCAGCAGGGGCGAAGCUUUUGUGACGGUACCUGCAGAAGAAGCACCGGCUAACUACGUG